AGAGUUUGAUCAUGGCUCAGAUUGAACGCUGGCGGCAGGCCUAACACAUGCAAGUCGAGCGGAUGAGUGGAGCUUGCUCCAUGAUUCAGCGGCGGACGGGUGAGUAAUGCCUAGGAAUCUGCCUGGUAGUGGGGGACAACGUUUCGAAAGGAACGCUAAUACCGCAUACGUCCUACGGGAGAAAGCAGGGGACCUUCGGGCCUUGCGCUAUCAGAUGAGCCUAGGUCGGAUUAGCUAGUUGGUGAGGUAAAGGCUCACCAAGGCGACGAUCCGUAACUGGUCUGAGAGGAUGAUCAGUCACACUGGAACUGAGACACGGUCCAGACUCCUACGGGAGGCAGCAGUGGGGAAUAUUGGACAAUGGGCGAAAGCCUGAUCCAGCCAUGCCGCGUGUGUGAAGAAGGUCUUCGGAUUGUAAAGCACUUUAAGUUGGGAGGAAGGGCAGUAAGCUAUACCUUGCUGUUUUGACGUUACCGACAGAAUAAGCACCGGCUAACUCCGUGCCAGCAGCCGCGGUAAUACGAAGGGUGCAAGCGUUAAUCGGAAUUACUGGGCGUAAAGCGCGCGUAGGUGGUUCAGCAAGUUGGAUGUGAAAGCCCCGGGCUCAACCUGGGAACUGCAUCCAAAACUACUGAGCUAGAGUACGGUAGAGGGUGGUGGAAUUUCCUGUGUAGCGGUGAAAUGCGUAGAUAUAGGAAGGAACACCAGUGGCGAAGGCGACCACCUGGACUGAUACUGACACUGAGGUGCGAAAGCGUGGGGAGCAAACAGGAUUAGAUACCCCGGUAGUCC
rnacentral:rRNA from 1 species